CAGUAUGCCGUGGCCGGUGUCACGACUAUAGCGCACACCCAGCUGAAUGAAUGGCCUGUCACUUAUUAUAAGGGUUAUUAAUAACGGCUUUAUAAUAUACUAUUUUUGGUCAAUAAUAAAAUGACAUGCCCUGAUGCCUACUUAUAAAAUAAUAUAAAUAGACACAUUCUUAAAAGGUAAUAUACUAAAACAUAAUAAUUUCAUAAUCUCUCAUCCAUCCAUCCCAUUCUCUCUGUCAUAAUGACAUAUUUUUGAUAGUCUCCAUCGUUACAUAGCCUCAGUUACUCAACCGACCUUCCAGACAGUCAGCAACAGCAUGGUUGGUUCCCAAUUCCAUACAAAAUAACUACAUCCCAUUGUGGCAGCUGAGGAGGAUUUCUCACUCCCAUCAUCAUCAUCAUCAUCAUCAUCAUCUACAUCAUCGCCAUAACAGAUAAUAACAAAAUCAUCGUGUCAUCGUUAUCCUGUUGCCCCUCUGCCCCUCUUCCAACAAUGAUUUCCUUUACAACCUAUAAUGACAGUGAUAGUGGUACGUACCUUAGGGAUGCUCUGCUCGCGGAUCUCAGAACGGUCUGUAUGCUAUCCUGGUCGCUCUCUCUGCCACCUUGUACUGUUCUAUCACGUUCACUCCGGCACGUAUGAGAACUGCGACGUCAUCGAAGUGAAAAAAAAGGAAACUCCCCGACUUACUCACCACUACAGGGAUAGUACAGGGUCCUAGUGUCGGCAGCGUUUAGAGUGACAGCCCGUUUCCGGUUUGGUGGUUGGUGACGCAACAGUGACUGUAACUGAUGUAUUCAUUUCCUUUUCUAUUUCCUGCAUUUUUAAAGUAUUUUUGUGCCACUUAUGGUCUCAGAACAGGUCAAUGAACAGAUAUGAUUUAGAGCUCUGGGAUGCUUGGAGGAAACAUAUACAGUGGCAUCUCUCUGUGUGUGUGUGUGUGUGUGUGUGUGUGUGUGUGUGUGUGUGUGUGUGUGUGUGUGUGUGUGUGUGUGUGUGUGUGUGUGUGUGUGUGUGUGUGUGUGUGUGUGCC
ensembl:lncRNA